rnacentral:lncRNA from 1 species
UUUCCUUAUGAAAGGAAAAAAAAAGGCCUUCAGCAGACCUCCAUGUGAUGUGAACAGAGUUCUAGUCAGGGAGCAUAAAUCAUGCCUCGUAUUCACAAAUAUACAAGUAACCCUUCCCCUUCCUGCUGUUUUCAAUUACUCUGAUUAAUUCAUUUCCAAACUUCUGGCAUUCCUCUGCUAAAGUACACAGCAAACAAAUUUACAGUGAUUCCCAAAUUACAUAUUAAUGCAAAAUCUUCCAGCCUUAAAUUUCAUUUGGUUUACUCUAAAAUUUAAUAAAAGUUUGUUUUUUUUUUUCAAUAUUUAACUUAUUCCUAUGCAUAAUGUUGAUUUUUGUACAGAUAUUUUGGAGCCAAAUUAUUAAAGGGGGGUUUUUUGAUGACAUGAAUUAAAAAUGGACUGAACUUAAAGUCACACACAAAUUAGUUUUCUGCACAUGCAUCUAGCAAAUGUCUAAUAAACCUGAAGGUAAGCUCUUUACACAACAAAUAUAUUGACUGAGGUCUUUGCCUUUAAUAUUUUGUUUAAGCAUUUCAGAAACUGUAAAUGCCUAAGCUCUGGACUUUUUUUUAUUUUAGCCUAAUAUCUGUUUAGUUACAUCUCCCCUUCUAAAUUUUAAAGGCAUACCAUAUUUGAAAACUAGAAAAAGAGGUUAUGUUUUUAAACAUUAGUUGUAACGGUCAUGUAGCAUUUCCAAGUUUAUUUCUUAGGAUGAGGUGAAGUAUUUCCUCUAUAAUGCUGCUGUUUGCUAUAAAAAGUAAAUAGUGUCUAAAAGGGUUGUUUAUUCCAAGUUGCUUUUUUUGGCACUAGAUGACCUGUACAACUUAAAAAGAAACUCAGUGAGAACAUUUGAGGGCCAAGCUUAUACUUUGGAAUGCAGAUUUGCAUAUUACCUUUUAAAACUAAAGAUUGACUUUUUCUCUAGAUAACAUGAAAGAGGACCAAAAGAAAAAAAAGAAAAAAAAAAAAGAGCAAUGAAAAAAAAAAAAAAUCAAUGAAACCAAAUCCCAAAACAAUCUUUGUGUAACUUAGGCCCUAAAGUAGCCCAUUCAGUUAAUAUUAACAGUAUUUCCUUCAAACACUAUACCCCUAUCUUCUUUCCCAUAGACCCUCAGGGCUCUGAAAGUUUCCUUUUCCACCAGUUUCAUAAAACCUCUCUCCUUGCUUUCUCCUCCUCUUGCUCUCUCUUUCCUUUUUAGGUCCAAAGAGAACUCAAUAAACACAAAUGGGUUUGUUUUGUAGCCACAAGCAACCUUUUCCUGAAAAUCCAAAGUUGUACAAUUGCUAAACUAGUGUUUUUAUUGCUUGUUCUGGUUUGUGAUGUUUAGUUGUUUCUGCCUCCAGUCUAUAACAUACACUGAGAUGGGAACAUAGUAGGAACUACAUUUAUUCAACGAAUGUGUGUGGAUAAAUGCAGAAGAAUAAUCCAAGGGCCCUGAUUGACCAAGAGGAAUAACCCCUAGGUCAUAAACUCUUACCCAGUAGGUUCCCCACCACUUGCCACCACCCCUCCCCUUUCCACAGUUUUCUUGAAAUUCCCAGGAAAGGUAAUCAGUAUACCAAUAACGGCUCUCUUACAAUUUCAUCCCAUUAAUCAAAUAUUCAUCAGUGGGAAUGUGACUGUCAGCACAAAUUCUUCUCAUUGUGUCAAGGAUUUGGGUACAAUGAAAGAGGAGUUCUUCCUUGAAAACAUUAAGAAUUUCCUCAAGAAAAAAAAUUUUCAUAUGAGUUUUCACAUUAGCUAAU